CCAGCAGCCGCGGUAAUUCCAGCUCCAAUAGCGUAUAUUAAAGUUGUUGCAGUUAAAAAGCUCGUAGUCGAAUUUCUGGGCGGUGGUAUCAUGGCUUCGGUCAUGAUACGCCUGUCCAUCCGUCAGGGAACUUCAUUCGUCCUUAACUGGACGGUGGAGGGAACUGACAUUUUACUUUGAAAAAAUUAGAGUGUUUCAGGCAGGCAAUCGCUGGAAUACAUUAGCAUGGAAUAAUGGAAUAGGGCUUUAGUCCAUUUUAUUGGUUAUUGGGCUGAAGUAAUGAUUAAUAGGGACAGUUGGGGGCAUUAGUAUUUAAUUGUCAGAGGUGAAAUUCUUGGAUUUAUUAAAGACUAACUAAUGCGA
rnacentral:rRNA from 1 species